rnacentral:rRNA from 1 species
UACGGAGGGUGCAAGCGUUAUCCGGAUUCACUGGGUUUAAAGCGUGCGCAGGCGGUUGUGUAAGACAGAUGUGAAAUCCCCGGGCUCAACCUGGGAACUGCAUUUGUGACUGCACAGCUGGAGUGCGGCAGAGGGGGAUGGAAUUCCGCGUGUAGCAGUGAAAUGCGUAGAUAUGCGGAGGAACACCGAUGGCGAAGGCAAUCCCCUGGGCCUGCACUGACGCUCAUGCACGAAAGCGUGGGGAGCAAACAGG